CAUGCAAGUCGAGGGGCAGCAUCAUCAAAGCUUGCUUUGAUGGAUGGCGACCGGCGCACGGGUGAGUAACACGUAUCCAACCUGCCGACAACACUGGGAUAGCCUUUCGAAAGAAAGAUUAAUACCGGAUGGCAUAAUUAUUCCGCAUGGGAUAAUUAUUAAAGAAUUUCGGUUGUCGAUGGGGAUGCGUUCCAUUAGGCAGUUGGCGGGGUAACGGCCCACCAAACCUACGAUGGAUAGGGGUUCUGAGAGGAAGGUCCCCCACAUUGGAACUGAGACACGGUCCAAACUCCUACGGGAGGCAGCAGUGAGGAAUAUUGGUCAAUGGACGAGAGUCUGAACCAGCCAAGUAGCGUGAAGGAUGACUGCCCUAUGGGUUGUAAACUUCUUUUAUACGGGAAUAAAGUGAGCCACGUGUGGCUUUUUGUAUGUACCGUAUGAAUAAGGAUCGGCUAACCCCGUGCCAGCAGCCGCGGUAAUACGGAGGAUCCGAGCGUUAUCCGGAUUUAUUGGGUUUAAAGGGAGCGUAGGCGGGUUGUUAAGUCAGUUGUGAAAGUUUGCGGCUCAACCGUAAAAUUGCAGUUGAUACUGGCGACCUUGAGUGCAACAGAGGUAGGCGGAAUUCGUGGUGUAGCGGUGAAAUGCUUAGAUAUCACGAAGAACUCCGAUUGCGAAGGCAGCUUACUGGAUUGUAACUGACGCUGAUGCUCGAA
rnacentral:rRNA from 1 species